rnacentral:lncRNA from 1 species
CGAAUCUUAUGGGCCGUUUGGUUGCAUGUAGUUGUAACUGCACGGCAGUUAUAAUUACAUGUCAAUAUAAAUUUGAUAUUUGGUUUGAUAUAUUUAACUCCAACUGCUGCAAUAGAAAGUACAGGAAGAGAUCCAACUACAAUAGUUGGAACUAUGUCCGUUCCAACUGCAACAGUUGAAGAGAGUAAAUUUAAACAAAAGGUAAUCUUACCUUUUUAAACAUUUUUUAGACAAAAAGUAAUUUUUUUACAUUGGAGGUAAUCUCACCAUCAUAUAUAUAAAAUAAUAAAAUUUUAAAAAUUAUUUCUCAUGCUGCAUGCAUCCAAACAAAUUAUUUCUAAUUGCAGUACUUUCUAAUACAUCCAACUAAAUAUGAUCCAUGUAAUUAUAACUGCUGCAUUUUUCAACUGCAUGCAUCUCCAACUGCAUUGUAUUUGUAAUUACAUCAAACCAAACGGCUCCUUAGAUCCGAUAAGUUGGUGAACGCUAAUAUCUCAUUUAAUCUAAACUCUAGUAUGACACUAUACUGAUAGUAAUGUAGCGUCUUUGGCGUUUGGAACGACGAAUCUCUAAAUCCAACCUAACUCAAGUAUAGUGAUAUUGGAGUUUUCCUGAAAUAUAGAUAUUUUUUCUUUGCUUACAAUUUGAGAAUUAAAUUAAAUUCAAGCACUUCUUUUAUUUGUUUUGGUGUAAUUUGAUACUAGCGUAAUUAGUUUUUUGAGUUCUGUUUUUUGCUUUGAUGUAAGUAAAUAAAUUCCGUUACAUUCGAAAUAUAAUAGUAAAUUUUUUCCACAAAAUUCAACAUAUUAAAUAAUUAAACUUUUUAUUAUUAUUUAAAUGUAAUUUUAAUUCAUUGUAAAACAAGUAGAGUUUAGAUUUUUAAUAUUUAAUUAAUCUUUUUAAAGGAGAUUGAGUGUGAUGGAAUUCAAGUUCGGCACUCUAGAAGAGAAAAUAAAAAAGAGUAGAUGAAGUGAAGGUUUGACGUAACUUUAGUUAUAUUAUUUUUUUUGACUUACACCAAAAUAAAUACCGAAAAUGAUAGAACUUUAAUUUCAUUUAUCCACUUACUCCAAACCAAACGCUCUAAA